rnacentral:rRNA from 1 species
AUUGAACGCUGGCGGCAGGCCUAACACAUGCACGUCGAACGAGUGGCGGACGGGUGAGUAAUGUCUGGGAAACUGCCUGAUGGAGGGGGAUAACUACUGGAAAAGGUAGCUACUACAGCAUAACCUCAGAAGUGCCCAGAUGUGAUUAGCUAGUUGGUGGGGUAACGGCUCACAAAGGAGACGCUCCAUAGCUGGUCUGAGAGGAGGACCAGCCACACUGGAACUGAGACACGGUCCAGACGCCUACGGGAGGGCGCAGUGGGGAAUAGUGCACAAUUGGCGCAAGCCUGAAGCAGCCAUGUCGCGUGUAUGAAGAAGGCCGUCGGGUUGUAAAGUACUUUCAGCGGGGAGGCGUUACCCGCAGAAGAAGCACCGGCUAACUCCGUGCCAGAAGCCGCGGUAAUUC